CCCAUGGAUCUGUGACAUAGAUAAAAGAAUUUGAAAGAGAGAGGAAAAGUUGGAGGGAAAAGGAGAUGGAAAAUGAAGGAUUGGGAAAUAAUGUGCGUUUCCCUGCAAAUAUAGAGAGGAAAGAAAAUGGAGGAGGCUAGGAGGGCGAGGAGGAGGAAGGGGAGGAGGAGGGUGGAGGUGGUAAACGCGUGACGUGAGGGAGGGGCCUCA
rnacentral:misc_RNA from 1 species